GUGCUCGCUUGCUUCAGCAGCACAUAUACUAGAAUUGGAGCAAUACAGAGAGGAAUAGCAUGGCUCCUGAGCGAGGAUGACACGCAAAUUCAUGAAGCAUCCCAUAUGAGA